UUGCAACUUAGUAACAAGAUCAAGGAUCUGAUCAAUUGUGAUUCUUGAACUCCCUGAUGGUCUUGAUCUCGAUCUGCAGCUAGACAUGUUAUAAAGAAAUUAUCACUGAAACUAUAUAAAUGCACAAUUAUAUAUAUAUGUCAAAAACAAAGCUGUUCUAUAUAGCUUAGAAAAAAGAGAAGAAACGGCAGGACACAGAAGCUGGUGACUGUUGAAGUAUCAAGAAUGUGAUUGCUAUGGAGAAGCAUAAAAGGAAGGGAACCUAAGAUAGAGAAAGAAAGUGAAGAAGAGACAAGUUAUUAUGGAAGAAGUGAUGACGGGUGUUUGAA
rnacentral:misc_RNA from 1 species